AUGCGUGAGCUGGUCGCGGCUCACCGCGCUGCCAUCCUCUGCCUCCAAGAGACGAAAUUAGAUGCUUGGAUACCGGAUCUCAUGUGCGACAUCGGCGGUGGCACCUUGCUCGGAUGUGCCGUGCUGUCGGCCAUCGGCACGCAUCGAGGCGUGACCAUUCUUUGGAACAAGGAUGUAGUUUCAGUAGACACCCACGCCAUAGGUCAGUUCGCGAUCACGGCGAGGAUUACCCUUGCCUGCAACCUCACGCGCUUCUGGCUCACCAUGGUCUAUGGACCGGCCGACGACACGAACAAAGACUCCUUCCUCGCUGAGCUAGCC
rnacentral:rRNA from 1 species